GAUGAACGCUGGCGGCGUGCUUAACACAUGCAAGUCGAACGGUGAAGGAGAGCUUGCUCUCCGGAUCAGUGGCGAACGGGUGAGUAACACGUGAGCAACCUGCCCCGGACUCCGGGAUAACAGUUGGAAACAGCUGCUAAUACCGGAUACGAGCUGCGAAGGCAUCUUCAGCAGCUGGAAAGAACUUCGGUCCGGGAUGGGCUCGCGGCCUAUCAGCUUGUUGGUGAGGUAACGGCUCACCAAGGCGUCGACGGGUAGCCGGCCUGAGAGGGUGACCGGCCACACUGGGACUGAGACACGGCCCAGACUCCUACGGGAGGCAGCAGUGGGGAAUAUUGCACAAUGGGCGCAAGCCUGAUGCAGCAACGCCGCGUGAGGGACGACGGCCUUCGGGUUGUAAACCUCUUUUAGCAGGGAAGAAGCGAAAGUGACGGUACCUGCAGAAAAAGCGCCGGCUAACUACGUGCCAGCAGCCGCGGUAAUACGUAGGGCGCAAGCGUUAUCCGGAAUUAUUGGGCGUAAAGAGCUCGUAGGCGGUCUGUCGCGUCUGCUGUGAAAACCCGAGGCUCAACCUCGGGCCUGCAGUGGGUACGGGCAGACUAGAGUGCGGUAGGGGAGAUUGGAAUUCCUGGUGUAGCGGUGGAAUGCGCAGAUAUCAGGAGGAACACCGAUGGCGAAGGCAGAUCUCUGGGCCGUAACUGACGCUGAAGAGCGAAAGGGUGGGGAGCAAACAGGCUUAGAUACCCCUGGUAGUCCACCCCGUAAACGUUGGGAACUAGUUGUGGGGACCAUUCCACGGUCUCCGUGACGUAGCUAACGCAUUAAGUUCCCCGCCUGGGGAGUACGGCCGCAAGGCUAAAACUCAAAGGAAUUGACGGGGACCCGCACAAGCGGCGGAGCAUGCGGAUUAAUUCGAUGCAACGCGAAGAACCUUACCAAGGCUUGACAUACACGAGAACGCCCUAGAAAUAGGGAACUCUUUGGACACUCGUGAACAGGUGGUGCAUGGUUGUCGUCAGCUCGUGUCGUGAGAUGUUGGGUUAAGUCCCGCAACGAGCGCAACCCUCGUUCUAUGUUGCCAGCACGUAAUGGUGGGAACUCAUGGGAUACUGCCGGGGUCAACUCGGAGGAAGGUGGGGAUGACGUCAAAUCAUCAUGCCCCUUAUGUCUUGGGCUUCACGCAUGCUACAAUGGCCGGUACAAAGGGCUGCAAUACCGUAAGGUGGAGCGAAUCCCAGAAAGCCGGUCCCAGUUCGGAUUGAGGUCUGCAACUCGACCUCAUGAAGUCGGAGUCGCUAGUAAUCGCAGAUCAGCAACGCUGCGGUGAAUACGUUCCCGGGUCUUGUACACACCGCCCGUCAAGUCAUGAAAGUCGGUAACACCUGAAGCCGGUGGCCCAACCCUUGUGGAGGGAGCCGUCGAAGGUGGGAUCGGUAAUUAGG
rnacentral:rRNA from 1 species